GACGUAGGGCGCGAGCGUUGUCCGGAUUUAUUGGGCGUAAAGAGCUCGUAGGCGGCUUGUUGCGUCGACUGUGAAAACCCGCGGCUUAACUGCGGGCUUGCAGUUGAUACGGGCAGGCUAGAGUUCGGUAGGGGAGACUGGAAUUCCUGGUGUAGCGGUGAAAUGCGCAGAUAUCAGGAGGAACACCGGUGGCGAAGGCGGUCUGCUGGGGUCGAACUGACGCUGAGGCGCGACAGCGUGGGGAGCAAACAGG
rnacentral:rRNA from 1 species